GUCGAGAAUAAUUCACAAUGGACGAAAGUCUGAUGGUGCAACGCCGCGUGGAGGAUGACGGUCUUCGGAUUGUAAACUCCUGUCAUCCGGGAGUAAGACCUGGCUGUGAAUAGCAGACAGGGUUGAUAGUACCGGAAGAGGAAGGGACGGCUAACUUCGUGCCAGCAGCCGCGGUAAUACGAAGGUCCCGAGCGUUGUUCGGAUUCACUGGGCGUAAAGGGAGCGUAGGCGGCGUGGUAAGUCAGAUGUGAAAUCCCGGGGCUCAACCCCGGAACUGCAUCCGAUACUGCCGUGCUAGAGGAUUGGAGAGGUAGCUGGAAUUCUUGGUGUAGCAGUGAAAUGCGUGGAGAUCAAGAGGAACACUCGUGGCGAAAGCGAGCUACUGGACAAUAUCUGACGCUGAGGCUCGAAGGCCAGGGUAGCGAAAGGGAUUAGAUACCCGUGUAGUCC
rnacentral:rRNA from 1 species